GGUUAAGCGACUAAGCGUACACGGUGGAUGCCCUGGCAGUCAGAGGCGAUGAAGGACGUGCUAAUCUGCGAAAAGCGUCGGUAAGGUGAUAUGAACCGUUAUAACCGGCGAUGUCCGAAUGGGGAAACCCAGUGCAAUUCGUUGCACUAUCGUUAACUGAAUACAUAGGUUAACGAGGCGAACCGGGGGAACUGAAACAUCUAAGUACCCCGAGGAAAAGAAAUCAACCGAGAUUCCCCCAGUAGCGGCGAGCGAACGGGGAGCAGCCCAGAGUCUGAAUCAGCUUGUGUGUUAGUGGAACGGUCUGGAAAGUCCGACGGUACAGGGUGAUAGUCCCGUACACCAAAAUGCACAGGCUGUGAACUCGAAGAGUAGGGCGGGACACGUGGUAUCCUGUCUGAAUAUGGGGGGACCAUCCUCCAAGGCUAAAUACUCCUGACUGACCGAUAGUGAACCAGUACCGUGAGGGAAAGGCGAAAAGAACCCCGGCGAGGGGAGUGAAAAAGAACCUGAAACCGUGUACGUACAAGCAGUGGGAGCACCUUCGGGUGUGACUGCGUACCUUUUGUAUAAUGGGUCAGCGACUUAUAUUCUGUAGCAAGGUUAACCGUAUAGGGGAGCCGCAGGGAAACCGAGUCUUAACUGGGCGUUAAGUUGCAGGGUAUAGACCCGAAACCCGGUGAUCUAGCCAUGGGCAGGUUGAAGGUUGGGUAACACUAACUGGAGGACCGAACCGACUAAUGUUGAAAAAUUAGCGGAUGACUUGUGGCUGGGGGUGAAAGGCCAAUCAAACCGGGAGAUAGCUGGUUCUCCCCGAAAGCUAUUUAGGUAGCGCCUCGUGAACUCAUCUUCGGGGGUAGAGCACUGUUUCGGCUAGGGGGUCAUCCCGACUUACCAACCCGAUGCAAACUACGAAUACCGAAGAAUGUUAUCACGGGAGACACACGGCGGGUGCUAACGUCCGUCGUGAAGAGGGAAACAACCCAGACCGCCAGCUAAGGUCCCAAAGUCAUGGUUAAGUGGGAAACGAUGUGGGAAGGCACAGACAGCCAGGAUGUUGGCUUAGAAGCAGCCAUCAUUUAAAGAAAGCGUAAUAGCUCACUGGUCGAGUCGGCCUGCGCGGAAGAUGUAACGGGGCUAAACCAUGCACCGAAGCUGCGGCAGCGACACUAUGUGUUGUUGGGUAGGGGAGCGUUCUGUAAGCCUGCGAAGGUGUGCUGUGAGGCAUGCUGGAGGUAUCAGAAGUGCGAAUGCUGACAUAAGUAACGAUAAAGCGGGUGAAAAGCCCGCUCGCCGGAAGACCAAGGGUUCCUGUCCAACGUUAAUCGGGGCAGGGUGAGUCGACCCCUAAGGCGAGGCCGAAAGGCGUAGUCGAUGGGAAACAGGUUAAUAUUCCUGUACUUGGUGUUACUGCGAAGGGGGGACGGAGAAGGCUAUGUUAGCCGGGCGACGGUUGUCCCGGUUUAAGCAUGUAGGCUGAUUGUCCAGGCAAAUCCGGAUAAUCAAGGCUGAGGUGUGAUGACGAGGCACUACGGUGCUGAAGUAACAAAUGCCCUGCUUCCAGGAAAAGCCUCUAAGCAUCAGGUAACAUUAAAUCGUACCCCAAACCGACACAGGUGGUCAGGUAGAGAAUACCAAGGCGCUUGAGAGAACUCGGGUGAAGGAACUAGGCAAAAUGGUGCCGUAACUUCGGGAGAAGGCACGCUGGUGUGUAGGUGAAGUCCCUGCGGAUGGAGCUGAGACCAGUCGAAGAUACCAGCUGGCUGCAACUGUUUAUUAAAAACACAGCACUGUGCAAACACGAAAGUGGACGUAUACGGUGUGACGCCUGCCCGGUGCCGGAAGGUUAAUUGAUGGGGUUAUCCGUAAGGAGAAGCUCUUGAUCGAAGCCCCGGUAAACGGCGGCCGUAACUAUAACGGUCCUAAGGUAGCGAAAUUCCUUGUCGGGUAAGUUCCGACCUGCACGAAUGGCGUAAUGAUGGCCAGGCUGUCUCCACCCGAGACUCAGUGAAAUUGAACUCGCUGUGAAGAUGCAGUGUACCCGCGGCAAGACGGAAAGACCCCGUGAACCUUUACUAUAGCUUGACACUGAACAUUGAGCCUUGAUGUGUAGGAUAGGUGGGAGGCUUUGAAGCGUGGACGCCAGUCUGCGUGGAGCCAACCUUGAAAUACCACCCUUUAAUGUUUGAUGUUCUAACGUUGGCCCCUUACCGGGGUUGCGGACAGUGUCUGGUGGGUAGUUUGACUGGGGCGGUCUCCUCCCAAAGCGUAACGGAGGAGCACGAAGGUUAGCUAAUCCUGGUCGGACAUCAGGAGGUUAGUGCAAUGGCAUAAGCUAGCUUGACUGCGAGCGUGACGGCGCGAGCAGGUGCGAAAGCAGGUCAUAGUGAUCCGGUGGUUCUGAAUGGAAGGGCCAUCGCUCAACGGAUAAAAGGUACUCCGGGGAUAACAGGCUGAUACCGCCCAAGAGUUCAUAUCGACGGCGGUGUUUGGCACCUCGAUGUCGGCUCAUCACAUCCUGGGGCUGAAGUAGGUCCCAAGGGUAUGGCUGUUCGCCAUUUAAAGUGGUACGCGAGCUGGGUUUAGAACGUCGUGAGACAGUUCGGUCCCUAUCUGCCGUGGGCGCUGGAGAAUUGAGGGGGGCUGCUCCUAGUACGAGAGGACCGGAGUGGACGCAUCACUGGUGUUCGGGUUGUCAUGCCAAUGGCACUGCCCGGUAGCUAAAUGCGGAAGAGAUAAGUGCUGAAAGCAUCUAAGCACGAAACUUGCCCCGAGAUGAGUUCUCCCUGAGACUUUAAGUCUCCUGAAGGAACGUUGAAGACGACGACGUUGAUAGGCCGGGUGUGUAAGCGCAGCGAUGCGUUGAGCUAACCGGUACUAAUGAACCGUGAGGCUUAACCUUAC
rnacentral:rRNA from 1 species